rnacentral:tRNA from 1 species
CAAAGAAUAGUUUAGUUUUAGAAUACUAGCUUUGGGAGUUAGC